GAACCAACAUCAAAAAACCCAAAAUUUUUCGAAUUUCAAUUAUACUACUCCCUA
rnacentral:tRNA from 1 species